UCGGGAAUUUUGGGCAAUGGGCGAAAGCCUGACCCAGCAACGCCGCGUGAAGGAUGAAGUAUUUCGGUAUGUAAACUUCGAAAGAAUGGGAAGAAUAAAUGACGGUACCAUUUAUAAGCUCCGGCUAACUACGUGCCAGCAGCCGCGGUAAUACGUAGGGAGCAAGCGUUGUUCGGAUUUACUGGGCGUAAAGGGCGCGUAGGCGGCAAUUCAAGUCAUCUGUGAAAUCUCCGGGCUUAACUCGGAACGGUCAGAUGAUACUGUCUUGCUAGAGUGCAGAAGGGGCAAUCGGAAUUCUUGGUGUAGCGGUGAAAUGCGUAGAUAUCAAGAGGAACACCUGAGGUGAAGACGGGUUGCUGGGCUGACACUGACGCUGAGGCGCGAA
rnacentral:rRNA from 1 species